rnacentral:rRNA from 1 species
AUUGAACGCUGGCGGCAGGCUUAACACAUGCAAGUCGAGCGGUAGCACAAGAGAGCUUGCUCUCUGGGUGACGAGCGGCGGACGGGUGAGUAAUGUCUGGGAAACUGCCUGAUGGAGGGGGAUAACUACUGGAAACGGUAGCUAAUACCGCAUAACGUCGCAAGACCAAAGAGGGGGACCUUCGGGCCUCUUGCCAUCAGAUGUGCCCAGAUGGGAUUAGCUAGUAGGUGGGGUAAUGGCUCACCUAGGCGACGAUCCCUAGCUGGUCUGAGAGGAUGACCAGCCACACUGGAACUGAGACACGGUCCAGACUCCUACGGGAGGCAGCAGUGGGGAAUAUUGCACAAUGGGCGCAAGCCUGAUGCAGCCAUGCCGCGUGUGUGAAGAAGGCCUUCGGGUUGUAAAGCACUUUCAGCGAGGAGGAAGGUGGUGAACUUAAUACGUUCAUCAACUGACGUUACUCGCAGAAGAAGCACCGGCUAACUCCGUGCCAGCAGCCACGGUAAUACGGAGGGUGCAAGCGUUAAUCGGAAUUACUGGGCGCAAAGCGCACGCAGGCGGUUUGUUAGUCAGAUGUGAAAUCCCCGGGCUCAACCUGGGAACUGCAUUUGAAACUGGCAAGCUAGAGUCUCGUAGAGGGGGGUAGAAUUCCAGGUGUAGCGGUGAAAUGCGUAGAGAUCUGGAGGAAUACCGGUGGCGAAGGCGGCCCCCUGGACGAAGACUGACGCUCAGGUGCGAAAGCGUGGGGAGCAAACAGGAUUAGAUACCCUGGUAGUCCACGCUGUAAACGAUGUCGAUUUGGAGGUUGUGCCCUUGAGGCGUGGCUUCCGGAGCUAACGCGUUAAAUCGACCGCCUGGGGAGUACGGCCGCAAGGUUAAAACUCAAAUGAAUUGACGGGGGCCCGCACAAGCGGUGGAGCAUGUGGUUUAAUUCGAUGCAACGCGAAGAACCUUACCUACUCUUGACAUCCAGAGAACUUUCCAGAGAUGGAUUGGUGCCUUCGGGAACUCUGAGACAGGUGCUGCAUGGCUGUCGUCAGCUCGUGUUGUGAAAUGUUGGGUUAAGUCCCGCAACGAGCGCAACCCUUAUCCUUUGUUGCCAGCGGUUCGGCCGGGAACUCAAAGGAGACUGCCAGUGAUAAACUGGAGGAAGGUGGGGAUGACGUCAAGUCAUCAUGGCCCUUACGAGUAGGGCUACACACGUGCUACAAUGGCAUAUACAAAGAGAAGCGACCUCGCGAGAGCAAGCGGACCUCAUAAAGUAUGUCGUAGUCCGGAUUGGAGUCUGCAACUCGACUCCAUGAAGUCGGAAUCGCUAGUAAUCGUAGAUCAGAAUGCUACGGUGAAUACGUUCCCGGGCCU